rnacentral:lncRNA from 1 species
CCGAUAAAUAUGCUGGAUCGACACUAUAGCUAAAAGUCGAAGAGUAGUCUAGAUAUCAUGGAAAAAUGGAUGGGCCUCCUGUUGCCUUUAUUGUUUUGAAUUCAGCCGAUAAUGAUGGUAGAAUCUUCUACAAUAAAAAUCUUUGUCGUUUGCAGCUCUUGUUUGUUAUAGAUAAUAUUCAUGUAGAUGAUAUGAAGCUCAGCUUCCAGGAUAAAAAGUUUGAAAAGAUAAAAACCUUCCAUCAUCAGCAAUCUAGCAUCCAGGC